ACUCAAAGGAAUUGACGGGGGCCCGCACAAGCAGUGGAGUAUGUGGUUUAAUUCGACGAUACGCGAAAAACCUUACCAAGUCUUGACAUCCAACUAACGAGGUAGAAAUACAUUAGGUGCCCCUUCGGGGGAAAGUUGAGACAGGUGGUGCAUGGUUGUCGUCAGCUCGUGUCGUGAGGUGUUGGGUUAAGUCCCGCAACGAGCGCAACCCCUACGGUUAGUUGCUACGCAAGAGCACUCUGAUCGGACUGCCGUUGACAAAACGGAGGAAGGUGGGGAUGACGUCAAAUCAUCAUGCCCCUUAUGACUUGGGCCACACACGUACUACAAUGGCUGUUCACAAUGGGUCGCUAUGGAGUAAUCCGGUGCUAAUCCCUUAAAAACAGCCUCAGUUCAGAUUACAGGCUGAAACUCGCCUGUAUGAAGUAGGAAUUGCUAGUAAUCGCGAAUCAGAAUGUCGCGGUGAAUACGUUCCCGGGCCUUGUACACACCGCCCGU
rnacentral:rRNA from 1 species